GCCCCGCCUGGCCCCGCUGCCGCCUGCCGCCGCCCCCUUCCCCUGGCCGCCCGCCGGGCUCGGCUCCCGGCUCCUUCAUGAAUUGCGGACGACCUGCCCGCUCUGCAGCCGGGCCGCCGCCGCCUCCUCGUCCCGCAUGUUCCGGACCAAACGCGCGGCGCUGGUGCGGAGGCUGUGGCGGAGCCGGGCGGCCGGCGGCGGCGGAGACCUGGCCGAAGGCGCCGCGCCCGGCGGAGACCUCGCGGAAGGCGCCGCGGACGGACGGCCCGAUGGGGCCGGCGGCGGCGGCGGCGGCGGGAGCCGGAUCUGCUGCCUGGGCAAGGCGGGCAAGGCGCCCGGCGGCGUCGGCGGCGGCGGCUCGGAGGCCGAGCUGAAGGCGCUGGCCCACUCGGUGCUGAAGCGGCUGAAGGAGAAGCAGCUGGAGGCGCUGCUCCACGCCGUCGAGUCCCGCGGAGGCGCCCGGACCUCCUGCCUCCUCCUGCCCGCCAAGGCGGACGUCAAACUGGGCCACCAGUGGUACUCGCUCCCGCUGCUCCUGGGCAAACUCUUCCGAUGGCCGGACCUGCGCCCGGGCUCGGAGGUCAAGCGGCUUUGCGGCUGUGAAUCUCACGGGAAAACCCACCUGGACUUAGCCUGCUGCAACCCCUUCCACCUGAGCAGACUCUGCGAGCUCGAGUCUCCACCUCCCCCUUACUCCAGAUACCCCAUGGAUUUUCUCAAACCCACCGCAAGUUGUCCAGAAUCUGUGCUUCCUUGCACCGAAACGAGAGGAACUAAUUUUCUGGCCCCUGGGGGGCUUGCAGAUUCCCAAGUGCUACAGGACCCCGGGGAUCUGUCACACUGGUGCGUGGUGGCCUAUUGGGAAGAGAAGACCCGCGUGGGGCGCCUGUAUUCGGUCCAAGAACCUUCCCUGGAUAUCUUUUACGAUCUACCUCAGGGGAACGGUUUCUGCCUCGGACAGCUCAAUUCGGACAAUAAGAACCACCUGGUGCAGAAGGUCCGAGCCAAGAUUGGCUACGGCAUCCAGUUGAGCAAGGAAGCCGACGGAGUAUGGCUUUACAACCGCAGCAGUUAUCCGAUUUUUAUCAAGUCGGCCACACUGGACAACCCGGAUUCCAGGACGUUGUUGGUUCACAAGGUGUUUCCGGGCUUCUCCAUCAAAGCGUUCGAUUACGAGAAAGCGUACAGCUUGCAGCGGCCCAACGACCACGAAUUCAUGCAGCAGCCUUGGACCGGUUUCACGGUGCAAAUUAGCUUUGUAAAAGGUUGGGGCCAGUGCUACACAAGACAGUUCAUCAGCAGUUGUCCGUGCUGGCUGGAGAUUAUUUUUAAUAACCGAUGACUUCCCGAGACCCCAACCGCAGGCCUUCCCGAGCUUGGCUCCUUGAGGAAGAGCGGACUUCAGCUCCCAGAAUUCCAUCCUGCCAGCAAGGGGUUCUGGGAAUCGGAAGUCCCCCCCCUUCUUCCAGGGGCCAAGCUCCGGGAACCGCUUGCUCCCCAGUGACAUUUUAUAAUGACUUUGCUGCUAAAACGGUUCCUUUUGAGUGCUUGCUAUGGUGUGCAAACGUUUUUUGUUUGUUCUGUUUUGAGAAAUAGCUUAUGGGAAGAUUUUCUUUUCUUUCUCCCUCCCUCCUUUUCUCUGUCUUUUUAUUUUGGGGUGGGGUGGGGUGGGGGUUUGAUUUGGACAUACUUUUUGAAACGUGGAGGACCGACAACGCAGAAGGAGAGGAGAGUCCCAAGGAGGUUGGGGAAGGUGUAAGUUGGAGGUGGUGACAGAGAGGACCCUUCAGUUUCUUUUUCAAUUGUGAUUCAAUCAAUCCUUAAUGAGCAGGAGUUGCAAGUUGCCACCUUCACAGCUUGAAUUCAGGCUGCGUUCUCUUUCUUGCCUCCCUUUGUGACGGCUCACGCGUUUCUGUCCAGAAGAAUCCUGCCUUCCCCCUCCCCCCCCGUCAAAUACACACCUUCUUUGCACACUUGGCACGUUAUGCCUAUUUUCAGCAGACCUUCUCAAUCCACACUUAUAGAAGUGCCACCAAUACACCAAGAUCUGGUUUCCUUCAGUGACCAUAGAUAGAGGUCGGUCUGGAAUUUCAUCGGGCUUGCAAGGGGAUUGGUCGAACAGAUUCCUGCAAGCCGUGACCGGUCGUCCUCGUCUUAACGACCAUUCGUUCAGUGACCGGUUGCAAAGUGUGAUCCUGGGAUUCCCCUUUGGCAAAGCCAAUGGGGGAAGCCGGAUUCGCUUAACAACCAAUGCUACUAACAAGAGCCGAUUCACAGGGUUUCCUGCCUGAGCAGGGGGUUGGACUAGAUGACCUCCGAGGUCCCUCCCAACUUUAUUAUUAUUAUUAUUACUUAGCAACCGUGGCAAGAAAAAUCACAAAAUGGGCCCAAACUCGCUUAAAACUGUCUUGCUUAAGGACAGAAGUUUGUGGGUCUUAAAGGUCAUGGUCGUAAAGCCGAGGACCACCUGUAUUUCGUUCUAGAACCAUAUAAUGGUUCUGCAUCAUAAUCUGUCCUCUUUAACCCCUCCAAGAUCCCUUUCUUAUGAAAACUUUAAACCACGUGGAUCUCUGUACGUUGCUGCAAGUCGCCCCAUCUGUUGCAAGAGAAAGGGAGCUGAGGUUUAAGAAAUACAAAUAAAUUAAAUAAAUCAAACCGGCCACUAUUGAGGAAGGUCAGGCAGAAGGGGUGCCUGGUUCUGGGCACAAUAAUCAAAGAGUUUAUUCUGCAGAAAUGCAGAAUUUUAGCCAACAGCGUGCAAAUAAGGCGUCUUUCUUCCCUUCCUCUCUUACUCUAUCUACCUGAAACUCUCAACUCUUUUGACUGACCUUAUGGAUGGAAAAGAAGAAGAAGCUGCACGCAUUUGGGAAAGAAAUUGCCAUUUUUCCGGGCUUGGCUAUCACAAUGCCUGUAAACCCUACGCCACACCCCCCCCCCAAAUAAUAAUAUUAUUUGGUCUGGGCUUUUCAAAUGGAUUUGCAGCGUUUGUAUCCCAUCUUCUCUUUUCAAUGGACAAAGCUGAUUUUCAGUAUUUACUCCCUGUCCCUUAUUUUGAUCCAAUUUAAAAUAAUAACUGUUUGCAUCCAGAAGCUGCAGUCAUUUGGUUGCCUACCCCUGGAUUUAAUAUGUUAGUAUUUUUCUUCAAUUCAUACACUUAGUAUGAUAAUUUUACACUGUUCUUGGCUCAGUGAGCACAUUUAGACCUUAACAUAAGCUAUUUUUCUAAAAGCAAAAAAGGAAUAAGUGAAGAAAAAAAAACAUCAUCCUGGGAAUUUUAGCAUUGAAGUGCUUUUUUGGGGGGGGGGGGAGAAAUAAAAAAAUAACAACAGACUUCUUUUUUAAAAAAAACAAAAACCCUGAGAUUUAUUAAAGAAAAAAAUGUAUUUUAUGUUAUAUAUAAAUAUAUUAUUACUUGUAAAUACAAAGACGUUUUAUAAGCAUCAUUAUUUAUGUAUUGUGCAAUGUGUAUAAACCAGAAAAAUAAGAAAAGAUGCACUUUGCUUUAAUAUAAAUGCAAAUAACAAAAUGCCAAAUUAAAAAAGAGAGAGAUAAAAAUUUAA